rnacentral:rRNA from 1 species
GACGAACGCUGGCGGCGUGCUUAACACAUGCAAGUCGAACGGAAAGGCCCUGCUUUUGUGGGGUGCUCGAGUGGCGAACGGGUGAGUAACACGUGAGUAACCUGCCCUUGACUUUGGGAUAACUUCAGGAAACUGGGGCUAAUACCGGAUAGGAGCUCCUGCUGCAUGGUGGGGGUUGGAAAGUUUCGGCGGUUGGGGAUGGACUCGCGGCUUAUCAGCUUGUUGGUGGGGUAGUGGCUUACCAAGGCUUUGACGGGUAGCCGGCCUGAGAGGGUGACCGGCCACAUUGGGACUGAGAUACGGCCCAGACUCCUACGGGAGGAAGCAGUGGGGAAUAUUGCAAAAUGGGCGGAAGCCUGAUGCAGCAACGCCGCGUGCGGGAUGACGGCCGUCGGGUUGUAAACCGCUUUCGCCUGUGAAGAAGAGUGAGUGACGGUAAUGGGUAAAGAAGCACCGGCUAACUACGUG